UACGUAGGGUGCUAGCGUUGUCCGGAAUCAUUGGGCGUAAAGAGCGUGUAGGCGGCCCGGUAAGUCCGCUGUAAAAGUCAAAGGCUCAACCUUUGAAUGUCAGUGGAUACUGCCGGGCUAGAGUCCGGAAGAGGCGAGUGGAACUCCUGGUGUAGCGGUGGAAUGCGCAGAUAUCAGGAAGAACACCAACGGCGAAGGCAGCUCGCUGGGACGGUACUGACGCUGAGACGCGAAAGCGUGGGGAGCGAACAGG
rnacentral:rRNA from 1 species